UCUUAUCAAGAGUGACGGAGGGAACAGGCCCGAAGAAGUCCGACAACCUGCCGCUUAGAGGCGGAAAGGUGCCAAAUCCUGCGGCGACAGCCGGGAGAUGAG
rnacentral:ncRNA from 1 species